rnacentral:rRNA from 1 species
UACAGAGGGUGCGAGCGUUUAAUCGGAAUUACUGGGCGUAAAGCGCGCGUAGGCGGCUUUGCAAGUCGAGUGUGAAAUCCCCAGGCUUAACCUGGGAACUGCAUUCGAGACUGCAUAGCUAGAGUAUGGGAGAGGGAAGUGGAAUUUCAGGUGUAGCGGUGAAAUGCGUAGAUAUCUGAAGGAACAUCAGUGGCGAAAGCGACUUCCUGGACCAAUACUGACGCUCAUGUGCGAAAGCGUGGGGAGCAAACAGG